rnacentral:rRNA from 1 species
AGCAGUAGCCACGGUAAAACGUAGGUGGCAAGCGUUGUCCGGAAUUAUUGGGCGUAAAGGGCUCGCAGGCGGUUUCUUAAGUCUGAUGUGAAAGCCCCCGGCUCAACCGGGGAGGGUCAUUGGAAACUGGGAAACCUGAGUGCAGAAGAGGAGAGUGGAAUUCCACGUGUAGCGGUGAAAUGCGUAGAGAUGUGGAGGAACACCAGUGGCGAAGGCGACUCUCUGGUCUGUAACUGACGCUGAGGAGCGAAAGCGUGGGGAGCGAACAGGAUUAGAUACCCCGGUAGUCCCUGUCUCUUAUAC